GACGAACGCUGGCGGCGUGCUUAACACAUGCAAGUCGAACGGAAAGGCCCUGCUUUUGUGGGGUGCUCGAGUGGCGAACGGGUGAGUAACACGUGAGUAACCUGCCCUUGACUUUGGGAUAACUUCAGGAAACUGGGGCUAAUACCGGAUAGGAGCUCCUGCUGCAUGGUGGGGGUUGGAAAGUUUCGGCGGUUGGGGAUGGACUCGCGGCUUAUCAGCUUGUUGGGGGGGUAGUGGCUUACCAAGGCUUUGACGGGUAGCCGGCCUGAGAGGGUGACCGGCCACAUUGGGACUGAGAUACGGCCCAGACUCCUACGGGAGGCAGCAGUGGGGAAUAUUGCACAAUGGGCGGAAGCCUGAUGCAGCAACGCCGCGUGCGGGAUGACGGCCUUCGGGUUGUAAACCGCUGUCGCCUGUGACGAAGCGUGAGUGACGGUAAUGGGUAAAGAAGCACCGGCUAACUACGUG
rnacentral:rRNA from 1 species